rnacentral:rRNA from 2 species
UUGGAGGGCAAGUCUGGUGCCAGCAGCCGCGGUAAUUCCAGCUCCAAUAGCGUAUAUUAAAGUUGUUGCAGUUAAAAAGCUCGUAGUUGAAUUUCGAGACCGGCUUACUGGUCGUGCUAUUGUACGUACUGGUAUAAUCGGUUUCUCCUUUCUGACGAACUAUAAUGCCAUUAAUUUGGUGUUAUAGGGAAUCAGGACUGUUACUUUGAAAAAAUUAGAGUGUUUAAAGCAGGCUCACGCUUGAAUACAUUAGCAUGGAAUAACGGAAUAGGACGUUUGAUUCUAUUUUGUUGGUUUCUAGGAUCGACGUAAUGAUUAAUAGGGAUAGUUGGGGGCAUUAGUAUUCAAUUGUCAGAGGUGAAAUUCUUGGAUUUAUUGAAGACUAACUACUGCGAAAGCAUUUGCCAAGGAUGUUUUCAUUAAUCAAGAACGAAAGUUAGGGGAUCGAAGACGAUCAGAUACCGUCGUAGUCUUAACCAUAAACUAUGCCGACUAGGGAUCGGAUGAUGUUAAUUUUUUAAUGACUCAUUCGGCGCCUUACGGGAAAC